GGUCCCGUAGCUCAGCUGGAUAGAGCAUCAGAUUUCUAAUCUGAGGGUCACAGGUUCGAAUCCUGUCGGGAUCACCA
rnacentral:tRNA from 1 species